GGUGAGUAACACGUGAGUAACCUGCCUUAGACAUUGGGAUAGCCUCGGGAAACCGGGAUUAAUACCAAAUAAAAUCAUAAUGACACAUGUCAUAACGAUCAAAACUCCGGUGGUCUAAGAUGGACUCGCGUCCCAUUAGCUAGUUGGUAGAGUAAAAGCCUACCAAGGCGACGAUAGGUAGCCGGCCUGAGAGGGUGAACGGCCACAUUGGAACUGAGAAACGGUCCAA
rnacentral:rRNA from 1 species